rnacentral:rRNA from 1 species
GACAGAGGGUGCAAACGUUGUUCGGAAUUACUGGGCGUAAAGCGCGUGUAGGCAGUUUCGCAAGUCGGGUGUGAAAGCCCUGGGCUCAACCUAGGAAGUGCACUCGAAACUGCGAGACUUGAGUCCUGGAGAGGAAGGCGGAAUUCUCGGUGUAGAGGUGAAAUUCGUAGAUAUCGAGAGGAACACCGGUGGCGAAGGCGGCCUUCUGGACAGUGACUGACGCUGAGACGCGAAAGCGUGGGGAGCAAACAGG